UAACUAGAUUUACUGGGUAACGCGACA
rnacentral:sRNA from 1 species